rnacentral:tRNA from 1 species
GCCAGCGUAGCUCAGUGGUAGAGCAGCUGAUUUGUAAUCAGCAGGUCGGCGGUUCAAGUCCGCCCGCUGGCUCAA